rnacentral:rRNA from 1 species
AGAGUUUGAUCCUGGCUCAGGAUGAACGCUGGCGGCGUGCCUAAUACAUGCAAGUCGAGCGAACAGACGAGGAGCUUGCUCCUCUGACGUUAGCGGCGGACGGGUGAGUAACACGUGGAUAACCUACCUAUAAGACUGGGAUAACUUCGGGAAACCGGAGCUAAUACCGGAUAAUAUAUUGAACCGCAUGGUUCAAUAGUGAAAGACGGUUUUGCUGUCACUUAUAGAUGGAUCCGCGCCGCAUUAGCUAGUUGGUAAGGUAACGGCUUACCAAGGCAACGAUGCGUAGCCGACCUGAGAGGGUGAUCGGCCACACUGGAACUGAGACACGGUCCAGACUCCUACGGGAGGCAGCAGUAGGGAAUCUUCCGCAAUGGGCGAAAGCCUGACGGAGCAACGCCGCGUGAGUGAUGAAGGUCUUCGGAUCGUAAAACUCUGUUAUUAGGGAAGAACAAAUGUGUAAGUAACUAUGCACGUCUUGACGGUACCUAAUCAGAAAGCCACGGCUAACUACGUGCCAGCAGCCGCGGUAAUACGUAGGUGGCAAGCGUUAUCCGGAAUUAUUGGGCGUAAAGCGCGCGUAGGCGGUUUUUUAAGUCUGAUGUGAAAGCCCACGGCUCAACCGUGGAGGGUCAUUGGAAACUGGAAAACUUGAGUGCAGAAGAGGAAAGUGGAAUUCCAUGUGUAGCGGUGAAAUGCGCAGAGAUAUGGAGGAACACCAGUGGCGAAUGCGACUUUUUUGGUCUGUAACUGACGCUGAUGUGCGAAAACGUGGGAUCAACAGGAUUAGAUACCCUGGUAGUCCACGCCGUAACGAUGAGUGCUAAGUGUUAGGGGGUUUCCGCCCCUUACUGCUGCAGCUAACGCAUUAAGCACUCCGCUGGGAGUACGACCGCAAGGUUGAAACUCAAAGGAUUUGACG